ACGUAGGAGGCGAGCGUUAAUCGGAUUUACUGGGCGUAAAGGGAGUGUAGGCGGUUGAUCAAGUCUGAUGUGAAAGCUUUACCACUCAACGGAAAGACGUCAUCGGAUACUGGUCGGCUGGAGUGGGGUAGAGGCAAGCGGAAUUCCUGGUGUAGCGGUGGAAUGUGUAGAUAUCUGGAGGAACAUCAGUGGUGAAGGCGACACCCUGGACUCAUACUGACACUGAGGUGCGAAAGCGUGGGGAGCAAACAGGA
rnacentral:rRNA from 1 species